UACAGAGGGUGCAAGCGUUGUUCGGAAUUAUUGGGCGUAAAGGGCGCGUAGGCGGUUCGGCAAGUCUCUAGUGAAAUCUCAGGGCUCAACUCUGAGUCUGCUGGGGAAACUGCCGGGCUUGAGUGUGGGAGAGGAGAGUGGAAUUCCCGGUGUAGUGGUGAAAUGCGUAGAGAUCGGGAGGAACACCUGUGGCGAAGGCGGCCGACUGGGGCCCGACCCUGACGCUGAGGCGCGAAGGCGUGGGGAGCGAACGGG
rnacentral:rRNA from 1 species